GACGAACGCUGGCGGCGUGCUUAACACAUGCAAGUCGAACGGUGAAGCACCUUCCUUUUGGUGGGUGUGGAUGAGUGGCGAACGGGUGAGUAACACGUGAGUAACCUGCCCCCUUCUUCUGGAUAACCGCAUGAAAGUGUGGCUAAUACGGGAUAUUCUGGGUCUGUCGCAUGGCGGGCCUGGGAAAGAUAUUGUUUCGGUGGGGGAUGGGCUCGCGGUCUAUCAGCUUGUUGGUGGGGUGAUGGCCUACCAAGGCGGUGACGGGUAGCCGGCCUGAGAGGGUGGACGGUCACACUGGGACUGAGACACGGCCCAGACUCCUACGGGAGGCAGCAGGGGGGAAUAUUGCACAAUGGGCGCAAGCCUGAUGCAGCGACGCCGCGGGAGGGAUGGAGGCCUUCGGGUUGUAAACCUCUUUCGCCAGUGAAGCAGGCCUGUCCCUUUUGUGGGUGGGUUGACGGUAGCUGGAUAAGAAGCGCCGGCUAACUACGUG
rnacentral:rRNA from 1 species